GUGCUCAGUUAGGCAGCUCAUGUACUAAAAUUGGAAAGAUACAGAGAUUGGCACGGCCCCUAGACAAGGAUGACAUACAAAUUAAGGAAGCAUUCCAUAUUAAA
ensembl:snRNA U6 U6 spliceosomal RNA